rnacentral:rRNA from 1 species
AACGAACGCUGGCGUCGUGGAUAAGACAUGCAAGUCGCACGGAGUGCCUUCGGGCACUGAGUGGCGCACGGGUGAGUAACACGUGAGUAACCUGCCUCCAAGACAGGGAUAGCCCCGGGAAACUGGGAUUAAUACCUGAUGGUCUCGCAAGAGUAAAGCAGCAAUGCGCUUGGAGAGGGGCUCGCGUCCUAUUAGCUAGUUGGCGGGGUAACGGCCCACCAAGGCGAUGACGGGUAGCCGGUCUGAGAGGAUGUCCGGCCACACUGGAACUGAGACACGGUCCAGACACCUACGGGUGGCAGCAGUCGAGAAUCAUUCACAAUGGGCGAAAGCCUGAUGGUGCGACGCCGCGUGGGGGAGGAAGGUCUUUGGAUUGUAAACCCCUGUCAUGUGGGAGCAAGACUUCGGUUUGAUAGUACCACAAGAGGAAGAGACGGCAAACUCUGUGCCAGCCGCCGCGGUAAGAC